GAUGAAGAACGUAGCGAAAUGCGAUAAGUAAUGCGAAUUGCAGAAUUCAGUGAGUCAUCGAAUCUUUGAACGCACAUUGCGCCCUGUGGUAUUCCGCAGGGCAUGCCUGUUCGAGCGUCAUUUCAACCCUCAAGCCCCGCUUGGUGUUGGGCCCCGCCCGCCGUGGCCGGCCCUAAAGACAGUGGCGGCGCCGCCUGGCCCUCAGCGUAGUACAGCUCUCGCUCCAGGGUCCGGCGGCCGCCUGCCAGAACCCCCCCAACUCUGUGGUUGACCUCGGAUCAGGUAGGGAUACCCGCUGAACUUAAGCAUAUCAUAAGCGGAGGA
rnacentral:misc_RNA from 1 species